UUCCUGGAUUUUGGAGAACACAAAACAAUAUUCUGCUUCUUUCAUUAUUGCCUAGUUAGUCUACUAGAGGAUUCACAAAACAGGAGCAAGUGAAGGAACAAGCACAGUGUUACCAGGGUGCUGGGCACUGCCUACGAACUCGAAGAAUACGAUUUCCAUCGGAUUAUACGCCUCUGUGGUUUCAAAUAUAGACCUGCCCUACGGGGGUGGGGARAAUAGCAGCUACUCGGGGAGAGGAGCUCUGUGCUCGCCCUGGGAUGGCGGGACACGCUCCGCCCUGGCGGAGGUGACAGGUGGCUGGAUCAAGACCUGUUUGUUUUGAAUUCAGCUGCUGGCUCUGUCUGCAYGGCAUUGCAGUUCGCAUCGGGACUGAGCUUUUGAAGUGAAUUUCCCAACCCCCUAUGCACCCUUUGCUUUUGAAUCCAGGGUAUUUUCAAACAUUGCAAACUGGAUUCCUUUCCCAUGAAACUAAACAAGAUAUACUCCAGCUAUAGCAUCAGUCUAAGGCUAAUAUAGUAAAGCUUCAAAUCGCCUGUAAAUGUCACAUUUUCAGCGCUGCUCAUUUUGCGCUAAGGUUCCUCUCU